rnacentral:rRNA from 1 species
UACGUAGGGCGCAAGCGUUGUCCGGAAUUAUUGGGCGUAAAGAGCUCGUAGGUGGCGUGUCGCGUCUGCUGUGAAAUCCCGGGGCUUAACCCCGGGCGUGCAGUGGAUACGGGCUGGCUGGAGGCAGGCAGGGGAGAAUGGAAUUCCCGGUGUAGCGGUGAAAUGCGCAGAUAUCGGGAGGAACACCGGUGGCGAAGGCGGUUCUCUGGGCCUGUGCUGACGCUGAGGAGCGAAAGCGUGGGGAGCGAACAGG